rnacentral:rRNA from 1 species
UUACGGGAGGCAGCAAUUAGGAAUCUUGCGCAAUGGGCGAAAGCCUGACGCAGCGACGCCGCGUGAAGGAUGACGGCCUUCGGGUUGUAAACUUCUUUUGUCAGGGAAGAAACAAAUGACGGUACCUGGCGAAUAAGCCCCGGCUAACUACGUGCCAGCAGCCGCGGUAAUACGUAGGGGGCGAGCGUUGUCCGAAUUUACUGGGCGUAAAGCGCGCGUAGGCGGACUUUUAAGUCGGUGGUGAAAUCUCAGGGCUCAACCCUGAAACUGCCGCCGAAACUGGGAGUCUUGAGGUAUGGAGAGGGAAGUGGAAUUCCUGGUGUAGCGGUGAAAUGCGUAGAUAUCAGGAGGAACACCCGUGGCGAAGGCGGCUUCCUGGUCAUAUCCUGACGCUGAGGUGCGAAAGCCAGGGGAGCGAACGGGAUUAGAUACCCUAGUAGUC